AUGCGAAGGUCCCAGCAGAGAGGCAAGGACUCUGAAUUGAGGUCUCCCUAACAACAGUUCAAUCAAAUCUUCGCAAACUAAUUUGCCGAAUCGUAGGAUGACCAAGAUUUUCCAUUUUUGUGGCAUCCGGAACCCUCGGCUAUAUACGA
rnacentral:snoRNA from 11 species